rnacentral:rRNA from 1 species
UAUAAAUUUGGUUUUAGUUUAUUAAUUAUUAUUAGUUUAUUUUAAUAUGCACAUAGAUCUAAGAAAGCGCAAUUCAGAUAAUUUUUUAAAUAUGUAAAAUUUAUCUUUUAGUUUUAGCUAAUCUAGGUGCCAGCAGCUGCGGUUAUACUUUAAAGGCAAAUAAUCUUAUCCUUUAUAUGAAACAAUGUAUAAUAAUAUUAAAAUUUGUUGUAAGACACUAAUUUUAUAUUAUACAUGGGUCAAUAAUCUAAAUUCCUAACAUAAACUAGGGUUAGUAGCCUACUAUCAGGAACGUAAACUAAAUAAGGUAUUAAAAGAAAGAUCUCUAAACCUAAAAAACAUGGCAGUAUUUUACCCCUUGCAGAGGAAUUUGAAUAUUAAAUAGAUAGUCCGCUGUUAUUUUUACUUAAUUUUAUUUUAUGUGUGGUUGUCUAAAUAAAUAUUAAAAUAUACAUUAUAAGUCAGAUGACAUGUAUAUAUAAUUAAGGUAAUUUUAAUUACAAUUGAUAAAAUUAUUUUUUUAAAAAGGAUUUGCUAGUACUAUUAGAAUUAAUAGCUAAUACGAAGUGGUUUUAAAAUGUGUACAUAUUGUCCGUCACUCUCAAAUAAUGAGAUAAGUCGUAGCAAAGUAAAGGUUUUCGAAAAAGUCUUUAAUUUAAA